UACGAAGGGGGCUAGCGUUGCUCGGAAUGACUGGGCGUAAAGGGCGCGUAGGCGGUUUGUACAGUCAGGUGUGAAAUUCCCGGGCUCAACCUGGGGGCUGCACUUGAUACGUAGGAACUGGAGUGGGGAAGAGGGUCGCGGAAUUCCCAGUGUAGAGGUGAAAUUCGUAGAUAUUGGGAAGAACACCGGUGGCGAAGGCGGCGACCUGGUCCUUGACUGACGCUGAGGCGCGAAAGCGUGGGGAGCGAACAGG
rnacentral:rRNA from 1 species